GAUGAACGCUGGCGGCGUGCCUAAUACAUGCAAGUCGAGCGAACAGACGAGGAGCUUGCUCCUCUGACGUUAGCGGCGGACGGGUGAGUAACACGUGGAUAACCUACCUAUAAGACUGGGAUAACUUCGGGAAACCGGAGCUAAUACCGGAUAAUAUAUUGAACCGCAUGGUUCAAUAGUGAAAGACGGUUUUGCUGUCACUUAUAGAUGGAUCCGCGCCGCAUUAGCUAGUUGGUAAGGUAACGGCUUACCAAGGCAACGAUGCGUAGCCGACCUGAGAGGGUGAUCGGCCACACUGGAACUGAGACACGGUCCAGACUCCUACGGGAGGCAGCAGUAGGGAAUCUUCCGCAAAGGGCGAAAGCCUGACGGAGCAACGCCGCGUGAGUGAUGAAGGUCUUCGGAUCGUAAAACUCUGUUAUUAGGGAAGAACAAAUGUGUAAGUAACUAUGCACGUCUUGACGGUACCGAAUCAGAAAGCCACGGCUAACUACGUG
rnacentral:rRNA from 1 species